rnacentral:rRNA from 1 species
UACGGAGGAUGCGAGCGUUAUCCGGAUUUAUUGGGUUUAAAGGGUGCGCAGGCGGCACGGCAAGCCGGCGGUCAAAUCGCGGGGCUCAACCCCGCCCAGCCGUCGGAACUGCCGGGCUAGAGUGGGCGAGAAGAGCGCGGAAUGCGUGGUGUAGCGGUGAAAUGCAUAGAUAUCACGCAGAACUCCGAUUGCGAAGGCAGCGCACCGGCGCCCUACUGACGCUCAGGCACGAAAGCGUGGGUAUCGAACAGG